rnacentral:rRNA from 1 species
GACGAACGCUGGCGGCGUGCUUAACACAUGCAAGUCGAACGGAAAGGCCCUGCUUUUGUGGGGUGCUCGAGUGGCGAACGGGUGAGUAACACGUGAGUAACCUGCCCUUGACUUUGGGAUAACUUCGGGAAACUGGGGCUAAUACCGGAUAGGAGCUCCUGCUGCAUGGUGGGGGUUGGAAAGUUUCGGCGGUUGGGGAUGGACUCGCGGCUUAUCAGCUUGUUGGUGGGGUAGUGGCUUACCAAGGCUUUGACGGGUAGCCGGCCUGAGAGGGUGACCGGCCACACUGGGACUGAGAUACGGCCCAGACUCCUACGGGAGGCAGCAGUGGGGAAUAUUGCACAAUGGGCGGAAGCCUGAUGCAGCAACGCCGCGUGCGGGAUGACGGCCUUCGGGUUGUAAACCGCUUUCGCCUGUGACGAAGCGUGAGUGACGGUAAUGGGUAAAGAAGCACCGGCUAACUACGUG